GACCUUGAGGCGCCGGCCGGCAGUAGAGAGGGAGAGAAGGAGCCCGGUGCAGCCACCCCUCCCGAGCCCCACUGGGAGCGGAGCGGCCGCCCGGCGCUGUCGGGGAAAGCUACAGCUCUCAGCCUCGCCGAGGGGUCGUCAGGCUGGCUUCGGUCCCAGCUGGACAGCUGAUGGCCAGUGACACAGUGCCAGAGAUGCAACUGGAGAGACUGAACCAGAUCCUGAGCAUGGGAGGAAAACUUGUGACUGGAAGUCAUUGAUGCCAAAAGAGACUUUUCUGUCUUCCGGCCGCUGCCCUCACACCCCAAAACCUUUCUUCCUACAAACCCAAAGCAACAGCUGCAGUGUGGGAUAGGGAAAUAUUUGUCACUCUGCGUGUGGUUCCUGUGAGUCCAUCACCACUAUCCAUCACCAAGCUCUUCCCAAGUAAGCUAUCUUGCAGGAGAAUGUUCCCCUCCUGCUCAGAUGAACUGGAAGAAUGGGCAUCCUGCAAACAGAAAGUCAUCUCAAGCAACAAAAGCAAGAAGUGAAACUCAUUUUAAAUUGUCAGCUGUGUUCAGAGCUAUCUAGUUUGUCUUUUGAAGAAAGCCCACUGCUUGGGACACUGGAAAGUAAUUACAUGAUGUCUAUGCAGAUCCGUAAGUGUUUUGGCAUUGGGAGGAGAGCACUGAAAUACAGUCUUGUCAAUCA